GAAGCAAGCUGAUCCCCUUCGGGGGUGACGCUUGUGGAAUGAGCGGCGGACGGGUGAGUAACACGUGGGCAACCUGCCUGUAAGACUGGGAUAACCCCGGGAAACCGGGGCUAAUACCGGAUAAUACUUUCUUUUGCAUAAAGGAAAGUUGAAAGGCGGCUUCGGCUGUCACUUACAGAUGGGCCCGCGGCGCAUUAGCUAGUUGGUGAGGUAACGGCUCACCAAGGCGACGAUGCGUAGCCGACCUGAGAGGGUGAUCGGCCACACUGGGACUGAGACACGGCCCAGACUCCUACGGGAGGCAGCAGUAGGGAAUCUUCCGCAAUGGACGAAAGUCUGACGGAGCAACGCCGCGUGAGUGAUGAAGGUUUUCGGAUCGUAAAACUCUGUUGUUAGGGAAGAACAAGUUGGGUAGUAACUGACCCAACCUUGACGGUACCUAACCAGAAAGCCACGGCUAACUACGUGCCAGCAGCCGCGGUAAUACGUAGGUGGCAAGCGUUGUCCGGAAUUAUUGGGCGUAAAGCGCUCGCAGGCGGUCCUUUAAGUCUGAUGUGAAAUCUCGCGGCUCAACCGCGAACGGUCAUUGGAAACUGGAGGACUUGAGUACAGAAGAGGAGAGUGGAAUUCCACGUGUAGCGGUGAAAUGCGUAGAGAUGUGGAGGAACACCAGUGGCGAAGGCGACUCUCUGGUCUGUAACUGACGCUGAGGAGCGAAAGCGUGGGGAGCGAACAGGAUUAGAUACCCUGGUAGUCCACGCCGU
rnacentral:rRNA from 1 species